UCCACCAUCCUUUGAUCUCCACAAUAAAUUCCAACCAUCCAUCCUUAAGAAACCCUAGCCAUCCAUUCUUAAAUCAUUUGCCCCACAUUGCCUAACCAAAUAAACUUCCUACCUUAUGGCACCUAUAAAUAAGUCUCAACACCUCUACCUAAAGGCAUUCAAUCAUCCAAUAAACCCAAACCUGUACUCUAAUGUUGUAGUG
rnacentral:lncRNA from 1 species